rnacentral:rRNA from 1 species
GAUCCUGGCUCAGGACGAACGCUGGCGGCGCGCCUAACACAUGCAAGUCGAACGAGAGAGAGGAAGCUUGCUUCCUCAAUCGAGUGGCGAACGGGUGAGUAACGCGUGAGGAACCUGCCUCAAAGAGGGGGACAACAGUUGGAAACGACUGCUAAUACCGCAUAAGCCCACGACCCGGCAUCGGGUUGAGGGAAAAGGAGCAAUCCGCUUUGAGAUGGCCUCGCGUCCGAUUAGCUAGUUGGUG